GUGCUCACUCUGCAGCACAUAGGCUGACAUUGGAACAGAUACAGAGAAGAUUAGCAUGACCCCUGCACAAGGAUGACAUGCAAAUUUGUGAAGUGUUCCAUGAUUUU